rnacentral:rRNA from 1 species
GCUCCAGAAGUGGCUUGCCUAACCGUAAGGAGGGCGGUCCUAAGGAGUGGCUGGUAACUGGGGUG